rnacentral:rRNA from 1 species
UACGUAGGGGGCAAGCGUUGUCCGGAUUCAUUGGGCGUAAAGGGUGCGUAGGUGGCGUCGUAAGUCGGGUGUGAAAUCUCGGGGCUUAACUCCGAAACUGCAUUCGAUACUGCGGUGCUUGAGGACUGGAGAGGAGACUGGAAUUUACGGUGUAGCAGUGAAAUGCGUAGAGAUCGUAAGGAAGACCAGUGGCGAAGGCGGGUCUCUGGAAAGUUCCUGACACUGAGGCACGAAGGCCAGGGGAGCAAACGGG